UGGUUAUGAAUUCUCGGAUCAUACAUCAUUUUGUACAUUUUCAGUUUUUUACUAUUAACUUUUCACCCAUGCAGUUUACUGUUUACCUAUCUCACUAUGAUUGCUAUUACCUUACCCUUGUAGAUGCGAUAUUACCUCAUUUGGUAGACGUGUCCUAAUGUUAGCUUUAAGUCAUUUGGUAACAUGAAGUCAUGAACUAAUGGCAGUUUAGUUCCCCAAGCUUUUUUCAGGUAAUAUUUGACUAGGUAGACCAAAUUUUGAGUAACAUGAUAGUUUAGUGGGCAGUUUCUGUCUGGUCAAUCUUAGAGAAGUAGAGAACGGGCCUAUCAUUGGAAAUUGAUUGGGAAAAACUUCAAGAUCAGCUCUCAUAGUUGAUAGUUCGAAGUGCUACUAGGGUUAAAGUGUAUUUAGAGAUGAAGUGCACGGAUGCCAAGUGUGGUUUAAGCAUUUUCUGGUAUAAGAUGUCCUUCGACUCCCUUUGGCAUAAAAAGUUCUGCAAGUCCCUUUGAACUUCUAGGCAAACAGGGGGAAUUUUUAAGACAGUUUUCCUUAGCUUUGGCAUAAAAAGUUCUGCAAGUCCCUUUGAACUUCCAGGCAAACAGGGGGAAUUUUUAAGACAGGUUUCCCUAGCUAGCAUUAAUUUUGAUUUAUCUUGCUACAUCUAAUGCCUUAAGGAUUCAUUUUGAAAUCAAAUUUUUUCUGUUGUUCAUUUUUGGUGACAGAUAUUCAACAUCUCUUUCUGUGGUUAUGCAUUAUGGUUAGUCAUGCAAGGAAUAAUUAAAUCUUUGUAAUUUUGUAUGUUGUGCUCUUGGUUUUCUGUUGCCUUCUUUAAGGAUUUUCUUUUUUCAUCACUGUAACAUCUGAGAGAGUGCAACUGGGGAAAUGUUAAUUUUAUUCUUGUUUCUUUCAGGCUAUAUAUGAAAAGGAAGUACGAUUCUGAACUUUGGUUUGAAGAAAGUUUUGUGUUGAUCGCCUUUCUGCAAAAGAUUUCUUGAAAUUGUCUAUCACCAGUCCUCUUGAAACAUUGUUGGAUACUAAAUAUAAUUUAAGUAGCCCUUUACGCAUACGUUUGACAUAUACCCACUCUGAAGUGGCAAUAAAAGUUCAAAAGCAUUUGGAGAAGAAAGAAGGCAACAAGAGAAUUAAAACAGGCAUGUUAAGUGUUUUAUAUCAGCAGCCGCAUAGACUACCAUCUUGUCAUCUUAAUUGUUUAUGUUUGUUUAGCUUUAUGUUAUGAACUUGAGGACAUGGAUACUUGAAGAACCAGCUUUGGAGUUCAGAUUAUCUUAGUGGCACUGGAAAAGUUAAAAGUGUUUGAUUUUCAAGUAGGUGUUUCAGGGUAAUUCAUGAUAGUGGUAUACUUAUUAAUGAAUGGGAGACCUAGAAGCUCUCACUCUUGUUUUGUUAGUAUACAUUGCAUGGAAGAACUUGGCAUCCUUGUGUUCUGGUCCUGCUUUAGAAGUCUCAUGUGAACAAAAUCAAGUGGUGGUUAUACCAUACCAUUAAAAAAUUAUUAUUCUGUAGGUGUAGUUCUUGUAAUAGCUUUUUUAGUCUCUGUCUGUCCCUCUCAACACGCUAUCACACCAGACUUCUAAAUUAGGGUAGCCCCGACCUAAAGUUUGCAAUAUUUCUCACAUGUGGAAUUUAGUUCUUUUUGGAAAACUGCUUGGGUAACAUUCAUAUUGUGAAUGCUAUUGGUAGUAAACAACAAGAUCACACUCCAGAAGAAGAGUUCAAAUAUCUGACUUCUUUUCACAUCAGUUUAGCAGGUGUGUAGCAUAUAAAGUGUACCACUAAUCCGUGGCUUCCUAGCAGUUGCUCCACCAUUUUUUUGUACUCUUUCUUAAACAUUCAACUGAAUUGAUCUAAGAAAAGAUGCUCAACUGAAUUGAAAAUACUGGAACUAUUGCCGAUGACAUGGACACCAGGGGUGGUAAUGAGAUUGCUGGCAGGGAGUACUCUGAUUUUAUGACCAGUGAAGAAUAUGUUAGUACAAGGUUAUGUAAUGUGUCGGACAACAAUGACUCUCCUGAUCUUUCUCAAUUCGAGGUGGAAAAGGUUAAUGCUCCACAAUUCUUAAGUUGAAUGUUUUGACUUAGGACACCCUUGUUUCAUGAACAUUUAGAAUCGGCCUUUUUGUACUCCUAUUUGCUGCGUUACAAUCUCAAACAUUCAAAUAAUAACCUGAGUCCUGUGUUUUCAAAACAUAUUGAGAGAUUUCCAUUAGACAUCUAAGCUGACCCAAUGUCAUUUAUCAGCACUGUUUUCUUAUUUGUCUUUGACCUCUAUGUUGUAUCUUUGGUUUUAUAGCCUUCCAAAAGUUGUAUUUUGGUCAUUAAGACUCAUAUGUUGGGUACUCGUGGUUAAUGUAGAUGAUUAGUGAUACAAUGUCUUGAGAUCUUUAUCUGUUCACUUCCAGAUUUUUAUCCUCCCAUUUUUGUUUUGGGAAGGGCUAAAGAUUGGCUUCCUCAAGAUUGCAGAUCUUGGUCUUUGAAUGGUCAUGUUAGUCAAAAGAUAAACAACCACGAGGUGUUCAAGUUGGAAGAUAAGAUCAAUAUUGCUUCACACUUUGAUGAAGAAGGAGAUUACAAUGGUGCCGAUGGAACUUAGUUGAAGUUUUUUCCUUAAUACUUCCCGUUUUGUGUCAAGACAUGUGGGCAACUUUUGGGACAAUAUGAUUGUUUCACUACCAUUCUCUUUCAAAAUGUUGGUAGGACAUGAAGGCUUGCUAUUGAAUUUGUUUUUAUUUAAAGUUACUUGAUGUUGGAUGGAAAUAUAUUUCUCUUUUGUUUUGAAUGGAAUCCUGGGCGAAUUUAUGUGU